rnacentral:rRNA from 1 species
CGGCGGACGGGUGAGUAAUGUAUGGGGAUCUGCCCGAUGGAGGGGGAUAACUACUGGAAACGGUAGCUAAUACCGCAUAAUGUCUGCGGACCAAAGCGGGGGACCUCCGGGCCUCGCGCCAUCAGAUGAACCCAUAUGGGAUUAGCUAGUAGGUAAGGUAACGGCUUACCUAGGCGACGAUCCCUAGCUGGUCUGAGAGGAUGACCAGCCACACUGGAACUGAGACACGGUCCAG